rfam:Ictidomys tridecemlineatus contig081368, whole genome shotgun sequence.
UGGGCUGUAGCUCAGUGGUAGAGCACUUGUCUAACAUGUGUGAGGUACUGGGUUCUAUCCUCAGCACCACAU